AUCAGGACUUCUGUUAGUAACCUAGCAGCCGCCAUUCCAUUCCCACCUUCGUCACCGGCUUCACCACCAUACAACCUCAACCGCUGUUGCACUUCGCGGGCGAAAAAGCUUCAUGAUAGCCGCAACACCACCGUCCGGUGCGAACCAGAUACAUCCCACCGUGACCACAAUAGCAUCACAACUCUCAACCUUCUUUUUGGACGUAUGGAUCGCCUCGAUUCUAUACGAGUUACUGGUGUUGCCGCUGCAAUCCGUUGCCGCGAUCGUCUAUUCUGAACAUGUUACCCUUAACACCAUUGCCGUCUCACACUCCGCCGCCACAGCCACAACUUCAUCGUCCCAACCACUAAUCCCAAACCAGCCGAGCUUUAUUAUUGCAUCAUACUAGCCACCACGAAACCGCCUUGACUUGUUUUCGGUUACGUGUAACAAGCGCAACAUCAAAUCUGUUAUGUCUAGUCGUCAUUUGAGGUAAAG